rnacentral:rRNA from 1 species
UACAGAGGUGGCAAGCGUUGUUCGGAAUUACUGGGCGUAAAGGGCGCGUAGGCGGCUUGGUCAGUCCCGUGUGAAAGCCCCCGGCUCAACUGGGGAGGGUCAUUCGAAACUGGUCGACUCGAAGGCAGGAGAGGGUAGUGGAAUUCCCGGUGUAGUGGUGAAAUGCGUAGAUAUCAGGAGGAACACCGAUGGCGAAGGCAGGUCUCUGGGCAUUAACUGACGCUGAGGAGCGAAAGCAUGGGGAGCGAACAGG